GUAACGGCUUACCAAGGCAACGAUGCAUAGCCGACCUGAGAGGGUGAUCGGCCACACUGGAACUGAGACACGGUCCAGACUCCUACGGGAGGCAGCAGUAGGGAAUCUUCCGCAAUGGGCGAAAGCCUGACGGAGCAACGCCGCGUGAGUGAUGAAGGUCUUCGGAUCGUAAAACUCUGUUAUUAGGGAAGAACAUAUGUGUAAGUAACUGUGCACAUCUUGACGGUACCUAAUCAGAAAGCCACGGCUAACUACGUGCCAGCAGCCGCGGUAAUACGUAGGUGGCAAGCGUUAUCCGGAAUUAUUGGGCGUAAAGCGCGCGUAGGCGGUUUUUUAAGUCUGAUGUGAAAGCCCACGGCUCAACCGUGGAGGGUCAUUGGAAACUGGAAAACUUGAGUGCAGAAGAGGAAAGUGGAAUUCCAUGUGUAGCGGUGAAAUGCGCAGAGAUAUGGAGGAACACCAGUGGCGAAGGCGACUUUCUGGUCUGUAACUGACGCUGAUGUGCGAAAGCGUGGGGAUCAAACAGGAUUAGAUACCCUGGUAGUCCACGCCGUAAACGAUGAGUGCUAAGUGUUAGGG
rnacentral:rRNA from 1 species